rnacentral:rRNA from 1 species
GACGAACGCUGGCGGCGUGCCUAAUACAUGCAAGUCGAGCGAAUCUUUUGGGAGCUUGCUCCCGAAAGAUUAGCGGCGGACGGGUGAGUAACACGUGGGCAACCUGCCUAUAAGACUGGGAUAACUUCGGGAAACCGGAGCUAAUACCGGAUACGUUCUUUUCUCGCAUGAGAGAAGAUGGAAAGACGGUCUCGGCUGUCACUUAUAGAUGGGCCCGCGGCGCAUUAGCUAGUUGGUGGGGUAAUGGCUCACCAAGGCGACGAUGCGUAGCCGACCUGAGAGGGUGAUCGGCCACACUGGGACUGAGACACGGCCCAGACUCCUACGGGAGGCAGCAGUAGGGAAUCUUCCGCAAUGGACGAAAGUCUGACGGAGCAACGCCGCGUGAACGAAGAAGGCCUUCGGGUCGUAAAGUUCUGUUGUUAGGGAAGAACAAGUACCAGAGUAACUGCUGGUACCUUGACGGUACCUAACCAGAAAGCCACGGCUAACUACGUGCCAGCCGCCGCAGUAAGAC